GACGAACCGUGCGAACGUUGUUCGGAAUCACUGGGCUUAAAGGGCGCGUAGGCGGCUCAUACAGUCAGGCGUGAAAUUCCUGGGCUCAACCUGGGGACUGCGCUUGAGACGUGUGGGCUUGAGUGGGGAAGAGGGUCGUGGAAUUCCCGGUGUAGCGGUGAAAUGCGCAGAUAUCGGGAGGAACACCAAUUGCGAAGGCAGCUCGCUGGGACGUCACUGACGCUGAGACGCGAAAGCGUGGGGAGCAAACAGG
rnacentral:rRNA from 1 species